rnacentral:rRNA from 1 species
AUGGCGACCGCAGACUCAGUCAAGACCACAUCGGGACCAAAAGGAACGGAAUUUACAUGUUACCUUGUUUAUGUCCAGGACAAGAUCCUUACAAAUGAUGAUGGUGCUACCAUUUUGAAGUCACUUCAUAUCGACAACCCUGCUGCCAAGGUCCUUGUUGACAUCUCAAAAGUCCAAGAUGAUAAAGUUGGUGAUGGAACAGCUUCUGUUGUUAUUUUGGCUGGAAAACUGUUGAGGGAAGCUGAAAAGUUGGUUAACAUGAAGAGUCAUCCCAUGACUAUUAUUGCAGAUAAACCCAGAAAGACAAAACCUGUUAAGCGAGGGCAUAAAUAA